rnacentral:rRNA from 1 species
UUUAAGGUCCCGCAACGAGACGCAACCCCUAUUGUUAGUUGCCAUCAUUCAGUUGGCACUCUAGCGAGACUGCCGGUAAUAAACCGGAGGAAGGUGGGGGUGACGUCAAAUCAUCAUGCCCCUUAUGACCUGGGCUACACACGUGCUACAAUGGUUGGUACAACGAGUUGCGAGUCGGUGACGGCGAGCUAAUCUCUUAAAGCCAAUCUCAGUUCGGAUUGUAGGCUGCAACUCGCCUACAUGAAGUCGGAAUCGCUAGUAAUCGCGGAUCAGCACGCCGCGGUGAAUACGUUCCCGGGCCUU